rnacentral:lncRNA from 1 species
CCUGGUGGAAAUCUCUGCUUACCAGAGGCUUUCAAAAGAUACAAGCCAGCUUCACCUUCAGAGAGACAAUGGACACUACCCACAAAGUUGUCACGAUGUUACUGAACAUCACAGACAAAAGGAAGACAUAGAGCCAGCAGUGACUCCUAUAGGAAGAGCUUAAAAAACAAAACAAAAAAAACAGCAUUCCAACACAAGGUUUAUAAGAAGCAUCCAUCUAUUUAACAAAGAAAACACGUUGUGGAUUUUUAUUUUAUUUUAGAUACAAAGUAGUUUAUCAUCUCCUGAGAAGUACUAGGAUUAUAUUCAGUUUUGCUUCUCUUGCAUAAAAUUGCCCAGAAGCAGUUUGAGCAUUCACUGGAGAAGUUCUACCCACCAUGCCAAUGUCCUUGGCUCUCUCUCUGGAUACACCAGAGCAUUGCUCAAGUCAUGCUGACCUUUGCAGCAGGAUAAACAUAUGUACCUUGAUUUCAGCAAGGCGUUUGACAGUGUCUCCCACAACAUCUUUGUUAUGAAACUUAAAAAGUGCAGGAUAGAUGAAUAGAUGGUGAGCUGGAUUGACAACUAACUGACUGGAAGAGCUCAGAGUGUGGUCAGCAGUGGUGCAGUCUGGUUGGAGGCCUGUAACCAGCAGUGUUGCCCAGGGUUUGGUUCUGGGCCUGGUCUCAUUCAACAUCAUCAUCAACAACCUGGAUGAAGGGAUAGAGUCCACCCUCAGCAUGUUUGCUGAUGACACAAAGCUGGGAGGAUUGGCUGACACACCUGAAGGCUGUUCUACCAUUCAGCAAGACCUGGACAGACUGGAGAGUUGGACAAAGAGGAACCUGAUGAGGUUUAAUAAGAGCAAGUGUAGAGUCUUGCACCUGGGGAGGAAUAACCACAUGCAUCAGUACAGGUUAGGUACCUGCUGAGGAGGAGCUCUGCAGAGAAGAACCUGGGAUUUGUGGUGGACAACAGGAUGGCCAUGAGCCAGCAGCGUACCCUUGUAGCCAAGAAGGCCACUGAUAUCCUGGAAUGGAUUAAAAAGAUCCUGGCCAGCAAGUCAAGGGAG